ACUGAAACAAAAAUCACAGAAUCACGUGACCACACAAUGCGAAGAUCGAACACAUUCCACGAAGAUUUUCUUUCGUCUUCGACAGAAAUAUCAAAUACUUUCACUUCUUUUCAAACUGACAAUCGUUUCCUUUCCACAAUAUCCUUCCUACGUUUCCUGCUUCUUUUAUACUUUUCGAGACUAAUCCUAUCGAAGGUCGAUACAUAUCGAUUUUAUCAUAUUUUAAUAAUACAAUUUUUUUGAUCGAAAUAACAAUUUUCCAAAUAAAAAUACAAAUUCGUCUAACAAAUUGGCAAUAUGAUUAAUGCCAUAAUAAUUUAACUAACAAAUUAAUUAUUAAAAUAUUUUCUCUAGUACAAUCGAUUUGUAUUCGAGUAAUCGAUGCACUCCAACCGUUUCCGCGAAAGUAGCGAACUCUACAUCGAUUCCACUUGCAUUCGAAACAAUAGUACAUAAACGAGAAUCGUCCAUGUUUGUUAGCGUCGUCGCGACAACAGACUUGUGUGUUUCGAAAAAGGCGAACGAAGCCAACUGUGCGGUCCGUUUACCGAGAGCUCCGUAUUCCCUAGUGUAUACUAAAACCAUCGAUCGCGUUUUGCAUGAAUGAUUUCGCGGAGGGACACGAGAAAAGAGGACCAUGGUCGUCUGGCGGAAAAGGACGAAGAUCGAAGAGAAAUUUCGGGAAGGCAUCGGUGAAAUAGAAGGGGAAUUGGAAGUAGUAAAGUCUGUGUCGUUCGGCAUUCAGAAUGCAGAAAAGGAGCGAGGAAAGAGGAGAAUGUAGGGUGGCUCGGCAGUUUGCGUGCAUGUGUUUCUCGUUCGUCCCUAUGCACAAGGAGAGAAGAAGAGUCCAGAGAACGCGAGUCGACCAUAGAGGAAAAGGAAGAAUUAUCGAAGCGUGCCCGUGGUCGGACAGAGAUAAUCGUGCCUAUACCGGCUACGGAUAGAGUGAAACGGAAGAAAA